rnacentral:rRNA from 2 species
AAUCAACGCUGGCGGCGUGCCUAACACAUGCAAGUCGAACGAGAAAGUGGUAGCAAUACCAUGAGUAAAGUGGCGCACGGGUGAGUAACACGUGACUAACCUACCCUUGAGUGGGGGAUAACUGAGGGAAACCUUAGCUAAUACCGCAUAAUACCCACGGGUCAAAGGAGCAAUUCGCUCGAGGAGGGGGUCGCGGCCGAUUAGUUAGUUGGCAGGGUAAUGGCCUACCAAGACGAUGAUCGGUAUCCGGCCUGAGAGGGCGCACGGACACACUGGAACUGAAACACGGUCCAGACUCCUACGGGAGGCAGCAGUGGGGAAUUUUGCGCAAUGGGGGAAACCCUGACGCAGCAACGCCGCGUGGAGGAUGAAGUCCUUCGGGACGUAAACUCCUUUCGAUCGGGACGAUUAUGACGG